CCCAGAGGACUGUUGAUGAGCAGUAAGCCAAAUACAUCUUAAGGACCAACUUGAUUCAGGACAGCAGAUGUUAAGGAAAGCUAAAGGACCUCUUCGUGGAGCAGAUUAUCCAGUGUCAGCACAGCUAUGCUGAAGGUCAUGUUUUACAGCUGUUUCCUGUUCUGGAAGAAGGGGCGCUUUCAUCCUGUUAUUUGCUUGCUGCCUGAAGCUCCUACUGCCUGUCACAGCCUUCGUGGAAGCUGUUUCUCUCCUGCUGUAAGGUUACUGACUUGUAUACAACUCUAUGGAGCCAGCUGAG
rnacentral:lncRNA from 1 species